CCUGGCCAUAUGUUUUCCUUUUUGUCAUAUUAAGAAUUGUUUUAAUUUAAUAUGUUCGUACGGAAAACAAGGAACAUUAUUCUCAUACAAAAAAUUAAGAUAAUUCUAAAUACACAUUCAUAAAAAAAUGGAAUUUAUUACAAAGGAUAAUCAUAAGAUAUACUUGAAUUGUCCUGGACCUCACUUCUGUGAUGGGUAUAUGUUAAUGGAAUCCUUCUCUGAAUACGGGACAAACAUAUUAGUAGUGGUAGACCCCAAUGGCCAAUGAUCUUCAAUUUAUACCGAAUAUUUGACUGUCAAAAAAAAAUGCUAACAUUCCAAUUUUCAAUAACAGUUAACAGCAAAUACAUUAUCACAAUAACAGAUAACAAAAAAACUAAAAGCCCAAUAACAGCUAACAAAGAAUAAGACAAUAACAGCUAACAGCAAAUACAUUUUCAAAAUAACAGAUAACAAAGAAUUAAAUUGCCCCAUAACAGCAUAACAGUUAAACCCCUUGCCCCCCCCCCCCAU
rnacentral:lncRNA from 1 species